rnacentral:rRNA from 1 species
GGGCGAAAGCCUGACGGAGCAAGACCGCGUGGGGGAGGAAAGCCUUUGGGUUGUAAACCCCUUUUCUCAGGGAAGAAGAAAGUGACGGUACCUGAGGAAUCAGCCUCGGCUAACUCCGUGCCAGCAGCCGCGGUAAUACGGAGGAGGCAAGCGUUAUCCGGAAUGAUUGGGCGUAAAGCGUUCGUAGGUGGCAAUUCAAGUCUGCUGUCAAAGACAGUAGCUCAACUACUGCAAGGCAGUGGAAACUGAAUAGCUAGAGUGCGGUAGGGGCAGAGGGAAUUCCCGGUGUAGCGGUGAAAUGCGUAGAGAUCGGGAAGAACACCGGUGGCGAAAGCGCUCUGCUGGGCCGCAACUGACACUGAGGGACGAAAGCUAGGGGAGCGAAUGGGAUUAGAUACCCCAGUAGUC